AAUAUGAUAUUCCUUGAUAUGAAUGAAGGUAAAAUUAUGAUAUUUCUUGAUAUGAAUGAAGGUAAAAAAACUAAUGAUUUGAAGAUUUGAAGAAUAUGAUAUUCCUUGAUAUGAAUGAAGGUAAAAAAACUAAUGAUUUGAAGAUUUGAAGAUUGCUUGUUGGCCAUAAAUCGAAAAAUCCAGACCCUUUUUAGGUUAAAUUGUGUCUUGUGUCCAUUUCCCCUAAAAAGGCAUGCUAAGAUGGAAAGAGGGAUCUAAAUUGACAACCAGUGCUGCUUUUUACCUAGCAUUAGAAGUAACUGAAAACCUGGCAUUUCUCAAGACCACGGCGAAAUCGUACCAGUUGUUAUUAUCUGCUGUUCAAUUUGUUUGCAAAAAAAUUUAUUUUAAAUAGGAUUAGGAGGAUUGCUUUAGUGAAAUUUGCUUAAAAGAAUGCAUUUUCCAGAGAAAUAGAAGCAUCAAAACUCGAGAAUUUCCUGUUCCUUCCGCGGCAACCAUAGUGCCGCCUGGGGUAGUUACUAUAUUCUUUGCCCAUUCCUAUAUAGAGAUUUGACAAAACUAUUAGGAACUCCGUUAUUAUGAAAUUAAAAUGAAAUGAAGUUGCGAAUUUUAUACAGAGUUAGAUUGCCAAUAUGCAUUGCAGAGGUUUGUGACAGCAACUAAAGAAUUUCAGGCAAAAAUUCUUUAAUCAGGUAAAUUUGUAGUCCACACCCCCCCCCCCUCCCAAAGCUUGCCUCGCGAUGGCCCUGCUCCUUGGGGAAUGCUGUUUUGCUUUUGACGCUCGUUGCUGGAGAGUCUUGUGUUCCCUGAAGGGUUUUGAAUCAAACAAGUGAGACAAGGCGCGUGUUUUCAUGGCCUUGUUAUCCCUUGGCGAUGGUCUCACCAUGUAUUUGUUGCAUUUUGCCUCAAGAGACCAAUAGCCAUGUACCCCAAAGGAGCUGCUCUUGAAAGGCAUUCUAAGUUGUCUCUAUCGAUUCACUGGUAACUGUUGGCCUUGCCGCCCUGGAUUGCAUUGCUACAAAGCUAAGUUUUGAUAUAUAUAUAAAGACAAGUUGAAAUGUCAAGUUUGGAUGUGGUCAGAUUCUAACUGGAGAUUAGGUAAAGGAUUCCAUUCUCCUUUUUAUGUUUUUCCGUUCAUUACAAUUUCCUCUGCCAUUCAUAUACUCUGUGUCACGGAGCUUGAAUGCUGUUGCUUUGCACACAGAACGUAACUGGUAGUUAGCAAAUUUUUUAAUUAAAUUGACAACAAUGUAGCUGAAUCUUUGCUGAUCAAGUGAAGCCUUGCAUUUUCUUCGUUUUGCUCAUACCUAUCGAAGUUAUACAAAUUCAAAGAUUCAAUCUAUCAAAGUUAUUCAAAUGAUAAACAACAGAUCAAUUGUACGCUCCAAAAUUAAAAUGGGUGGGGAUAGGCCUAGUUUAUGCAUACAUGUUACUCGAUAUUCUGUAUUAUGUUAAGCAGUUGCCACAAUUGUUAUUUUUGCUGUGAAUCUGUUUGGAUUUAUCCUAAGACCUUAUUCAAAUACCUCUUCUUUUACAGCCUUACACUAUUUGAUCCAACUUUUGCAAUCUGGCUCGGUAUAACCAGGGCUCCCUACUUUGAACCAAUGCUCAGUGGAAUAUCAUUACACACAAAGUAAUCAAUCAAUAAUAAAUAGCGAGUGCAAACACAAGAUUAUGGUGGAGGGGAAUGUGGUAUUCUCGUAAAGAAAUUCUUUCUAAAGACAAGGCCAGUUUCAAGGUCAGUUUACUAAGAUAGUUUUGCAUCUUAUCAGUGUUUUCAUGUUUUUUUACCCGCUUCCUAGCCUGUGGCGCAAAUUAAAUUAUUUCUGGGGGAAGUGGGGGCUCUGACUUAAGAUGUGAAUAUUUCCGGCUCUCGAAAGUCAAAAGUUAAUGGCUGCUGUCAAGUUUUCAAAACAGAAAAAGUGCUGUUUCGUGGUGUUCCCUGGUCUUUAUGUCCAGGUGUUGGACAGUGUUUUCGAUCGCUAUGUACAAAUGGUCUGCUUUGAGUUGGGUCUGUGUACAAAGAUGGUAGCUUACAAAUUGUUCUGCAUUUUUUCAAGAGCCAAUUUUUUUUCAAAAUUCGGAACGUUACUCGGAUCGUAUAUGAUUAUUUUACAGUAAGCAAAGAGUGCUCGAAAUAGCGGAAACAGCCCAUACUGAAGUACUUUUUGUCGGACACUAUUGACUUUGAAAUACGUCUUGGAGCAUUGUGGAUUUGUGAGCAAUUUCGUUUUUUUCCUAAUAUGCCGUGGCUGUUCUUUUCGUUCAAGAGGGCUGAUAGGGUAGUGCUAUACUUGUCUGCGAGAAAAAUGCAACGUUUCGAUGUCAAACUGUAUUUCCAAAAGUUGGUUAGAAAUUGGAACUUCCUUGCAUUGUUUGCAGCUGCGAAGAGUGUUUGAAUUCGGGGAGGAAAGGACCUAAAGAAGCUGCAUUGUGUCUACCAACAAGACAUUGGCCCAAGGAGUCAGUGACAAUGAGGUUAAAGUCUGAUUGCGAAGAAGGCUUUGAUACAGAUAAUGUUGCUAUAAUUUGCAAGUUGCUGUUUGAUCCAUUCGUUGAGAAUAAAGUUGCUUCCAGCGAAGAAUGGUACGUUAAUUGUAUAGCUUUUGCGGAAGGAUUUACCAUGUAGGCCUUGAAUUUCGCCAUUGCUAGAUUCUAGUGGACAAAGCAUCUACUGUUGGUACCACUCUGUUGGGUACAAAUCAUAUGGCUCGGCAUUGCAAUUUGCAAAGAGCGGAAAUAAACUUUUUCAAACUUUCUGCCAAUUGCAAAGCAAAGGUACAAGUCUUGUACUACGAGAUGGCACUCUCUUCCAUUGUGACCACACUGGGCGGGACGUAUGCAAAAGUGAUAUUUACUUCAAUGGUGCAAUUCUGCAAUCAGCUAGACGUCCAGUUCUGCAACGUUGGACCCAAUUUUAUGGUUGGAAGCGAAAACUAUGUGCUGCCAAAAUUUAUUGCAGCUCUCGAGGAUUUGCAAUUGGAGAAUUUGAGACGGCAUCUAGAUCUGGCAGAGGAAGAGAGGAAAAAAGUAUGACAUUUUCCUUUCUUUGUAAUCUACUUAAUGAUAUCUUCACUACUAAUAUUCUGUAAUCCUGGCUCUUUUAUUAUAUUUUAUUUUUUCU